rnacentral:rRNA from 1 species
ACAAUGAAGAGUUUGAUCCUGGCUCAGGAUGAACGCUAGCUACAGGCUUAACACAUGCAAGUCGAGGGGCAGCAUUUCAGUUUGCUUGCAAACUGGAGAUGGCGACCGGCGCACGGGUGAGUAACACGUAUCCAACCUGCCGAUAACUCGGGGAUAGCCUUUCGAAAGAAAGAUUAAUACCCGAUGGUAUAAUCAGACCGCAUGGUCUUGUUAUUAAAGAAUUUCGGUUAUCGAUGGGGAUGCGUUCCAUUAGGCAGUUGGUGAGGUAACGGCUCACCAAACCUUCGAUGGAUAGGGGUUCUGAGAGGAAGGUCCCCCACAUUGGAACUGAGACACGGUCCAAACUCCUACGGGAGGCAGCAGUGAGGAAUAUUGGUCAAUGGACGCGAGUCUGAACCAGCCAAGUAGCGUGAAGGAUGACUGCCCUAUGGGUUGUAAACUUCUUUUAUAUGGGAAUAAAGUUUUCCACGUGUGGAAUUUUGUAUGUACCAUAUGAAUAAGGAUCGGCUAACUCCGUGCCAGCAGCCGCGGUAAUACGGAGGAUCCGAGCGUUAUCCGGAUUUAUUGGGUUUAAAGGGAGCGUAGGUGGACAGUUAAGUCAGUUGUGAAAGUUUGCGGCUCAACCGUAAAAUUGCAGUUGAUACUGGCUGUCUUGAGUACAGUAGAGGUGGGCGGAAUUCGUGGUGUAGCGGUGAAAUGCUUAGAUAUCACGAAGAACUCCGAUUGCGAAGGCAGCUCACUGGACUGCAACUGACACUGAUGCUCGAAAGUGUGGGUAUCAAACAGGAUUAGAUACCCUGGUAGUCCACACAGUAAACGAUGAAUACUCGCUGUUUGCGAUAUACAGUAAGCGGCCAAGCGAAAGCAUUAAGUAUUCCACCUGGGGAGUACGCCGGCAACGGUGAAACUCAAAGGAAUUGACGGGGGCCCGCACAAGCGGAGGAACAUGUGGUUUAAUUCGAUGAUACGCGAGGAACCUUACCCGGGCUUAAAUUGCAUUUGAAUAUAUUGGAAACAGUAUAGCCGUAAGGCAAAUGUGAAGGUGCUGCAUGGUUGUCGUCAGCUCGUGCCGUGAGGUGUCGGCUUAAGUGCCAUAACGAGCGCAACCCUUAUCUUUAGUUACUAACAGGUCAUGCUGAGGACUCUAGAGAGACUGCCGUCGUAAGAUGUGAGGAAGGUGGGGAUGACGUCAAAUCAGCACGGCCCUUACGUCCGGGGCUACACACGUGUUACAAUGGGGGGUACAGAAGGCAGCUACCUGGUGACAGGAUGCUAAUCCCAAAAGCCUCUCUCAGUUCGGAUCGAAGUCUGCAACCCGACUUCGUGAAGCUGGAUUCGCUAGUAAUCGCGCAUCAGCCAUGGCGCGGUGAAUACGUUCCCGGGCCUUGUACACACCGCCCGUCAAGCCAUGAAAGCCGGGGGUACCUGAAGUACGUAACCGCAAGGAGCGUCCUAGGGUAAAACUGGUAAUUGGGGCUAAGUCGUAACAAGGUAGCCGUACCGGAAGGUGCGGCUGGAACACCUCCUUU